rnacentral:snRNA from 1 species
GUACUCGCUUCGGCGGUACAUAUACUAAAAUUGGAACGAUACUGAGAAGAUUAGCAUGGCCACCCAUCGAAAAGUGCAGUACAUUAAAAUUGU